GUAAUGGACUUAGGAAACUCUAAGAACAAAGAUGUAAUCCUAUAGAGAGGAAGGAGGAAUGGGACCAGCAGGAGUAACAUACUUUCAAUUUUGACAAUAUGAGGACAUGCCUUCUUAAGAAACCAGCCUACCCUGCUGUGAGCUGGGAGGGGGCCUCUGCCAAGGUGCUGAGGGAGGCGGCCACGAACAGUGGAGCACUGGGGCCCUCACACCAACAGCCCGGAGGUAUGUCUUCCUGCCAGGGACCAGGAAGGCAGCCUCAGAAGUGGGUCCUACAUGCCGAGACUUCGGAUAAGCUAUGGCCCCAGAUGACACCUUGACUGAAGCCUUGUGAAGGCUGAGGCACCCAGGCUGUUUCCUAGAACUUCCAGAGUGCACAGAAACCCAGAGGGCUCCAUCAUGUAUUCCCUCCUGUCGGUCACUGUGACUUUCAAAGACUGUGAGGAGACAGUGAGCCAUCGUUACCUUGGUGAUGGUGAGCACGAUGUCGGUGGAUGUCACCAGAGGGCAGGGAUUCCCCAGGAGCCUGUAGCCAAUCACCUGGGGAAGCACCAUGCUGAUUGGCUGGCCCAGCAUGACAGCUUCUGCUUCAAUACCACCCACACCUGCAAAGAAUGGCACAGCAGAAUGAGGCUCUCAUUCCUCCUGUGACCCUCAGGCUUAACUCAGUGUCAUCAACAGAAUUUUAAGCAAGUGUUUCUGAAAGUGUGGUCCCCCAACCACCUGUAUCAAACUGCCUGUGAUUCUAUCAAAGUGAAGAGUGGGGUCAGAAGUCUCCAUUUUUAACAAAAACCUCAGGUCUUGAUUCUUCUGUAAACUGUCUGCCCUGUCAGAGAGAAAAACUAAAUGUAUAAGUUUUAAGGCUUAAAAUAUUAUUACUGGUCAAAUCUGUUGGUGAUGAAUAACAUGGCAGUUUCAUCUGCAGGCUUGCUGGACAGUACUGAUGCAUUCAUUCACAUGGGAAAGGAGAGGUAAGUAGCAAAAGCUUUUUAAAAAGGAUAAUGUUUAUUUUGUUCAGGUGAUUCCAAUGUCUUUAAACAUGUGAGUAGAACCCAUAGCAUGAAUUCAAGAUAAAACUAAACCAAUCAUAAAGUCUGAUUCUUAGGAACAGACUUGAGACAUUUAGAUGACAAGAACAGUUUAGAUAUUUAAUGAACCCUUGUUUCUGUCCUCCUUUCUCAUCCUUGACCUUGCUAUAACAGCUCUCUGCACUGAGCCACGUCUGGGCUGCCACUUUCAUCUGUUUGUUUUGGCAGACAGGGAACCAGUGAUCCCAGGAAGCAACGGCACUUAUAGAAUCACAAUCUCUUACUUCUCAGACAGAGGUUUAUGAUAACAGUGCCACCUAAGAACAUCUACAAAGCAUAGAUUAUAUGCUGAGGUUUACUCAAAGUCAUUCAGUCCCUCAGGAAUGACACAGGCAAGCCAGGGCAUCAAGAAGCUUGUCCAGGAUUUUUUGUAAUCAAGCUUCAUUCUUUUGAGUUGAGGUAGAAUAAGUCAUAGUCACAACUUUGUAGGUUGGGCACAAAAAGGUACUCCUAAAUUAUAUAUCAUGGAUUGAGAAAACAUAGGAAAAGAUAGUAAAAUUAAUAACUAAGAUCCAAAUCAGACUCCAUAAUUAAUAGUUAACACUUACUGUCAUUACUAGGAAGCAGCCACUAUUCUAAAUGAUUUACAUUUAUUUUCUCAUCUAGUCUUCAUAAUAACCCUUUGAUUAGAUAUCAUUAACACCCACAUUUUUCAAAAGAGGAAACUGAGACACAGAGAGAUUAAGAAAGUUGCUCAGGACCACAGAGCUAGUAAAUGAACUGCAAGCGAAGCCCAGGCAGUCUGACUCCACUGUCGGUGCUCUAAAUCCACGCUGCGUCCCUGCAGUGGAGUUAUGGAAACUGUAAUCACCACCACCACAGUAAUAACAGAAGGAGCUAAAGGGCAAGAUUAUGUCAGAGGCUUUAAAUGCUUUACAUGCCUGAACUCCUUCAAUCAUCAUAACAAUGGUUAGACAACUUGUCAAGGCGGGAUGCUUGUCAGUUAUAGAGCUGUCAUUUGACCCCAGGACUGAUGGCCCCAGGCCUCUAACUAAACACUGUACUUCUCAUCCUCCCGGUACCUACAUGUACUAAUGAUCUACAGAACCCACCUGGGCCAUAUGCUGGGAGUGUGGUGCAGAAGUACCAUGAGCAGUGCCUGCCCACUUGGUGGACCAAACCUGAAGACUAUACAGAGUAGUAGCCAGGCAGCUGGAAGAGCCCAGACUGUCAAGGUCAUGACUCAGGACAUACAGGGUGCCAAAGGAGCACCCAGAAAGGGCUACAGACUCAAACGGGGGUCAGGAAUGCCUUCCGGAAGAGGAAUGACAUUAAUGUAGUCUGAAGGAUGGGGGGUAGUCAGCCAGGUAAAAAUCAGUAGGCACCUCUUGAGAAGAAAGAGACUGGAAGCACUUUUUUUACUCUACAAAACAACAACAACACACAUUUCAGUUACCAUGCUGAUUUUUCUCUUCUUCUCUUGAAGUGAAUAUUCUCAAGGUUAAGUGUCGGCUGCUUUAAUGGAAUCAAUCCCAGAGAGUGCCUUAGAGGAGUCCACAAACUAUAGCCCAUGGGCAAAUCUGGCCUAAUACCUGUAUAUGUUUGAUCCUCAAGCAAAAAAUAAUUUUUACAUUUUAUAGGUUGAAAAGAAAGGGGAAUAUGUGAAUAGAGAGAGUAUGUAGCCAGCAAGGCCUAUUUAUUAUUGGCCCCUUACAGAAAAAGAUUGCUGAUCCCUGACAUAAAGAAUGAAUGUCUGUGUGUUAAAGAAAAGCAAAAGGAAGAAACAGAGACCUUGGUACCAAGGACCAAGGCAGGACACCAGUGCCGACCCUGCAUCAGCAGACCCUCUGGGCCCUUGGACCAGGUGCCCCUAUUCUUCCAGGUCCACCUUCUCACUAGUAUACUAAGGGCUCCAUUGCUCCAAAUCCACCUGUCUCUUCAGGUCAGGUUCAUAUUCCCAGUGGACCUGGGCAUCUGAAUGGGGAAUACCUCAGGCACCAGCAGCUCAACAGGUCAAACCCUAACGUAUGACCUUCUUUCCUAAGUCUUGUCCUCGUCCUAUCUGAUCACAUUUCAUCCAGUGACCUCUUCUCCCACUGAGUACCUACUGCUAUCAAAGUACUUAUUCCAGAAAUAGCCCCCUACCUGGUUUCUCUGUCAGGCUAGUCAACAUACCUUUUGUACCAUCACCAGAAUAUAAAAUAUAAAUCAUGGUCCAUCUUGCAUCUGCCACUGGCUUCACAAUUUCUAAAUGAAGUACAAAUCCCUUGUCAUAAAAAACAAAGUCCAUCAAUCAGCCUUCCUGUAUAAGCCCUCCUAUCUUCCAGCCCAAACUUUCUUAAACUUCAUCCUCACUGUAGCCCUCAUACCCCUCCCAAACCUCUUUCCUCAGAUCUCUCUGCACACUCUGUUCUCUCUGUGAAAAAUGCUUUUUCCAGCUCUUCUGUCUUUGGUAAACACCCUUCAGGAUCCAGAUCAAGUGAUACUCCUGGAAGAGCCUCCUUAUGCCCCCCAUCCAGAUGAUUUGCCUCCUCUGUGGUUACUACACUUAACAGCUGCAUUAAAGUUGCAUAUUCUCUAAUCUCUCUCUUCUUCUAAACUAACCUGUUUCUCGAAUAAAUAUUGGCACACAGCAGGCCUGUUAGAGGGACUUAAUUAGGAAAAAAAAAAGAAGUCAUCUUGGAACAUUAUUCUUGAUCAUAUGUGGCCCUGCCUCAGGUGCCUCCAUCUCUGCUGUACUCUGAGCUCUGUGGGCUCCCCGUCAUUAUCCCUUGUCCUUUUGCCUUCAGCACCAGAAGGAUGUCAGAGCUUCUCACAGCAGAGCAGGGUUGGAAGGGGAACACUUACCCCAGAGAAUGCUGGGACAUCAGUCUGAUGUAAACAACAUAUUCACAGCAGAAGCCAGAAACGUUUAGGCUGUUUGAAGAUAUGUUAAUUCCAGGUAAAAAAAACCGAUUUACUCAUUAAACCAAAACACCUUGUGUGCUAACCUUUGCUCAAUUAACUUAGCUCUAAUUAUUGAAAUGAAUAAACAGACCUAGAAUUUGGAUUUUUCCACCACUCAGAACUUCCCUAAAUUCACCAAUCUGGUGAGUUUUUAAUAAGGUCUCUGACUGUGACUGGCCUCACAAUCUAAAGAGGAAAUGUUUCCUUAGUGACAUUAAUUUGAAUUCAGAUUUGAAUACACAUCAAAGUUUCUGAGUACUACAUUUAACGGUACUCCAGAAAUUCACAAACAAUAUUUACAGAGGAGACAGUUUUCACACUCAAUGAAAUCUGGUCAGGAAUUGUUAUGGCAUUUUUGGGGGGAUUUUUUAAAAGGCUAUUUCUAAGAUAACUUUGUUAAAUAUUACAACAAUGUGUUAGUUAAUAAUGUGUUAGUAAUAAUCCUUAAUUCCUAAAGACAUUGUGAAGCUAAUUUUAUUUAAACUGGGCAAUGAGCUUAGAAAUACUUCACUGAAAAAACUUACCAUCCUACCACCUCUUACUUAGUUUUUCUAGUUCAUUUUUGGGAAUAGCUAGAAAAUAAGCCCACAGGACACAAAGAUUGAGACAUCACACUUAAUUCCUUACAAAAAAUGAAGAAAGAGAUUGAGGUCAAAUUGCGAAACCAAACUCGAGAAAUAAAAACAAACACCAUCAAUGAAAACACUUCCAACAGAAAUGUUCUCUUUAAAUACAAAAAGAAAAAAGGAAGAAAAAAAGCAUUUGCUAGAAAUCAAUUUGGAUCAGAGUUCAUUUCACCUCUGGACUUUGCUGUUUUCAUAAUAAUGUUUUCAGUACUACAGUGUAAAUGAACAAAAUCCUUAAAAAAUAGAAACCAGAGUUGAAGGAUAUCCAGGUUUAAGGAGGAAAAAAAAAAAUCACAGUGAAUUUGGUGAUCAUCCAGAUUCAUUAACUGCUUAAUAGUCAGGAACUUUUUGAAUUUUAGUCAAAAGACCUUAGACUUUAAAACAAUUAUAAUUCUGUCUCCACCAAUAUUUUCACUUUCUAGGCCCGCAAAAUGAAGGUAAAUAAUCAAUACCAAAGAGAGUCUCCUUUUAUACCUUAUAACUUCUGAAGUGGGAGUUUAGGAAAUAUCCUCAUUUGCAAAUAGGAUAACAUUUUGUGUAUAUAUUUUUAACUCUUCCCUUUGAAACCAAAACAUUACAUUGAGCCCUUGUAAUUUAAAGAAGAAAAAAAGACAAGUUGCCUGAUGGGUUUAGAGUCCAAAUGAAAGGGAAGAGCUAGUAAGUAUCCAGUCUGUUGGUUCCAAGAACUGUCACUUCAGGGCACAAAGAUUUGUCUUUAUCCUGAAUUUAUCUGGGUUGGAUUUUGGCAACAUUAAUUUGAGAAUGACCAGUUUCUACAUUUCUCUUGAGGCUAUGGAACCAACUUAAAUCCCCAGGGAAGCAAAUAAAAGGUUUGGGUUUUUUUUCCCCUCUGAAUGGUUUGUCUCAUAUUCUUAGAUGAGUUUUUAUUUUUAAACUAAUAGCUUCUUAUUGUAAAAAUGAAGAACAGUUAUAAUCCUAAACGUAGUUGCUUAGCAGCUUAGCAUCUCUUUCUCAUCUUUUAAUCUCUGCUUAACUUUUCAUCUAGCUGAGCUCACUCUGUACAUUACAAUUUAUAUGUGGUUCAUUGAACUAAGACAUGAGCAUGUUUCAAGUGUUAUUAAGCACAUUUAAAAUAUUUAAAGAUUACCUAAUAAUUCACUUUAAAGAUGUACCAUAAUUUAAUAAAGCAUUUGCCUCUGUUGGACAUCUAUAAUGCUUCCAGGUUUUCAUUAUUAUAAAUAAUACUUUGAUGAAUGCUGUUUAGUCAUUAAGCUGUAUGUCAUUAUGAAUUUCAGGUUAUCUAUGAAGGGUAUGCUUAGAAGUGAAGUUUCCAGGACAAAGGAUAUGGCAAUUUUUGAGGAACUUAUUAAGUAUUGCUUUCAUCAUUUCUAAUUUGCAGUGUAUAAAAGUGUUUCUCUCAUGAAACCUUUAUAAUUAAUAAUGUUACUUUUCUAAUCUUAACUAUAAGAGAAAAUGGUAGCUCAAGAAUUAAAUUUAGUUUUUUAUUAUUUGUAAGGUUGAAAAAGCUUUAUCAACUGUUUACCAUUUGCAUUUCCUUUUAUUGUGAAUGUCUACUUUCCUUUGCCCAUUUAUCUAACUGGUUUUACUGUUUUUAAAAAUGGAUCAUACACAGUCUUUAUAUUAAGGAUAGCAACCCUUUGUCAUAUUUGUUCCAAACGUUUUUCAACUAAUUUCCUGUUAACGUUGAAGUCAUUAAAUCUAUAAUUUUUUUCCCCUUUUUGGCUUCAUUCAUUGUUAAAUUUAGAAAGGUCAUCAAAACACUUGACACAUAUAUACUUAAGUUUUCUUCUAAAUUUUUUGAUGAUUUUAUUUUUAAAUAUUAAUGCUUUAAUUCAUAUGAACUGCUUUCUUUGCCAAAUAAUUUUCCCAGCAUUGUAUGCAUAAUAUUUCUUUUCCCACUGAUAACUGAUAAUAAUUUUAUUUAGUUAUCUAGGUUAAGAUACCAUCCUUGUAGCCAUACCUGGUUGCCCUCCCUGUAUUCAAACCCUUGUUGUGUAUUCUUACAGCUAUUCUGCAAAAGAUGAAAUGACUUUGGCCUUGACAUACUUUGAUUAAUGUCACAUGAAUUGAAGUGAUCCUAUGCCAGUCCUGAUCUAGGCCUCGAGAUAUCGUGGGUUCCCACUUUUCCUCUUGAGCCUCUGUGAUCACCAGAUAGCCAGGCCCCCAACGAAACACACACGGAAUGGAGCUGUCCCAGCUGUGCUGCAGAAGUGCAGGGCUGUGUGAGCAGUCGGCCCAGCCAGAGCUGGAUGAAGCAGAGCGGCCUGACUGCACUCAGUCUUUCUUGAAAGGCUGACAAGGGAAGCACUGAAGAGAGUGAAGUGACAGUUGGCUCACGUAAAGUCCUGCAGGAUGACCCGGGCAGGCUUAAAUGGCACUUCUAUGUUCUUAUGCUGCAUGACAUUCCAAUUCAGGAUAUUUUCAAUGUCAUUUUUCUUCACCAAAAAUUGAUCACAGUUCCGAAUGGCUGCCUCCAGAAGAACUCUGAUAGAAAAUGGAUCCAAAGGCUCAGCAAGGUGUGCAAAUGGGUUGUUCAUGGUCCCUGAUGGUCACGUGUGUCUGAAAAGGAAAGAAAACACCUAAUUUGUUUUCCUGACCUCAUUUAUUCUGGGCCAAACCGAACGCCCCUGUGCCCCUAUUUGACCUGUGUCCCAGCAUAACCUGGCAGAUGUUUUGGACUGGAGGAAUGGAAGGGUAACCAGAGAAAAAACUCAGGCAGGAGACUCUGGAAGGGGAGGAGGUGAAAAGUGACCUGAGUGGACAAGUGGAUGGUGGCAGCGGAAAUUGAAAAGAAGUUGUAGAUGGAUUAAAAGCUGAAGAGACCAAAGUUAGAGAGAAUGGCUGCUGAGUGAGUGGGGAGUCAUGGAAGGGAGAAGAAACACAGCGGAACUCCAUGUGCAGCGAGGUGAAGGACUGCUUUUUGGGAGGGAAGACGGCGGCUUUUGUGUUUGAGGGGAGAGUCCACUUAAGGUAAGUGCCACAGAAAUGCAAGUGUCUUUGUAUUCAUGCCCAUUACAUGGGGAGCCAGUCAGGAGGAAAAGGCCUGUAAAUACACCAUUCAGCAAGAAACACGCCGGCUUGUCUGCAGAAGGAGAAGUUUACAAAUCUGUGGGCUCAUAAAACGAGACUAAUGAUCCCAUUGACUACAGUUCUGAAGAUGUAAAUCGAAAAAGGCAAUAAUGCUCUUCUCCCUUUGGUUGGUCACCAAUGCCUCUGCCCUAGACUUCACUCUUCCAUUCCAAACAGAUUUGCAGCUGCGACAGGAAAACUGCUGUUUUGCUGGCCUGGAAAAUGGAUCCACAGAAGAGUGUCUCCACAGAGACAGGGGCCAGGUGACCCCAAAGUCUAUGGUUGAACCAGUCACUAAGUUGUACCCAGGUUUGCCAUGAUGCAGUGAAGAUAAAAUGUGUCGAUUUGCUUCCCUUACAGACGGCCUGCGCAGAACUUUGGAGGCCUUAUACAAUUCCUGCUGCUCCCGGCACCCUACAAAACAAGCUGGCAUUUCAGGACGGAAUGAUGACCAAUAUGGAUCAUGUAGAAAAUGGUCUGUGUAAAGUGCUCUACCAUCUGCCUCCUUUUUUCCUUAGAAAGUAGAUAAUUGUCUAGUUUCACUAUAUUAAUGAAGCAAUUUUUACUUGCAGCAAUUAGGAGGAAUCAGGUACUAAUUACUAAGCACCAGCACAUGCCCAGUGCUUCAGCCCAUCUUCUCUAACUCUGGCAACAUCUCUAUUAGUUAAAGAUAACCCAUUCCCAUUUUACAGCUGAGAAACAGCAGCUCAAAGAGAUGGAAAAACUUGCCUAAUGGCAUACAUCUAAUAAGAGGCAGAGCUGGGUUUUGAACUCUGGUUCCUUCUACCCACCCUGUGGUGCCUCUCGCCUCUCCAGGUGCAACAACUCCUGUUCUGAAGGUGGUGUGGCUGGAGGUCACCAACCAAUCCCCAGACUUGAAAAAAGCCUGAAGGCUUUGUACGGGCCUGAGAAAUCCUACAAGACACAGCUGUGAAUACUAGAGUUGCCUUUCCUUCUUCCAUUGGUCACCCAGCACAUUGGCCUGGGCCCGGCAUCACACAUCCCAGGCCACUUUAUGGAGUCCCAGAUGCCCCGCCAGGAGUUCCCAGCACCUUAAUCCCAAGAGAAAGUCCUGAGCAUGCCGCGAGGAGGCUGUGAGGGGACUGGUCUUUAUCUUGGGAAAGGUGCAGAUCCAAAGUGGAAUCUAGGCCUUGUGAACACUUCCUAGGUCUGUCUUACCCUGGCCAGAACUGUACUCCAUCCCCAAACCUCAGGUCCUAAUUACCACAGGGCCUGCGGAUUCCACACCUACCCCAAGAUCUGGGUCUGUCAGCCAGGGAGCCCUGCCUACUUCUACAUUCACAUAAAGCACAGAUAUGACUGUUUGAAUUCCUUUCUGUUCUUAUCCCCCAUCUUCUCCUUCUGCUUUGUUCCUACCUUUUUUGUUUUAUCUAAUCCCCAUUCAAUACUAAUAAAAGAGAGGAAUGACCAGAGUUGGUGUGGAUUUUUUUGGGAGAGGGUGGAGUGUUAUUGUACUUUUUUUUCUUGUUUGGAUGGGGGAAGAAUUAAUAUACAUGGAAAUAUGUUUGGGUUGCUGCCUUUUGCAUUCUAUGGAAUAAGAAGACACUGCAUGGAGACAAAGGAAAAAAGAAGAUAAAUGGAAGUGAGAAAAGAGAAAAGAAAUUUUAAAAAAGGAAACAAUAUAUUUUAAGCAGUGAGGCUGGAGCUCAUUCAGAACUUAUUCUCCCUGAACGCUUGCAUGCAGAGUGUUAGGAGAGACUUGCAACCCACAAGAUUCCCCUUUAUGUAAUGGGAGCCCUCACAGCGGAUGGAAGCCCUGAAACCUGAUGCACAGUUUGACCCCAAGCUUGGCUGCACUGUGAACCGACUUGUUUAUAGCAAGGUAAGCAGCUGAUUAGCUUAAAUCAUGGGCAAAAUCCCCUUCUGGGUCAGUGAGCUUUCCUGUCUGUAACCCAGCCUGAACUUCCAAGCCCAGGCAGUAAUCUUACAGAUGGGUUUCUUGAGGGCAUAUGGGCAGUGCACUGCUAACCCAUCACUCUGGCUGGAAGACCAUCUAGGACCAUACACCCCACAGGCAGGGGUGUGUCACGGGAUGAUGCUCAUUACACAGCACAGUUGACUGACUUUUGGCUAAAUGCCAACGAUGAGGUCAAAUUAAG